rnacentral:rRNA from 1 species
UACAGAGGGUGCGAGCGUUAAUCGGAAUUACUGGGCGUAAAGCGUGCGUAGACGGUUAUUUAAGUCGGGUGUGAAAGCCCCGGGCUCAACCUGGGAAUUGCAUUCGAGACUGAAUAGCUAGGGUACGGUAGAGGGAAGUGGAAUUCCGGUGUAGCGGUGAAAUGCGUAGAUAUCGGAAGGAACAUCAGUGGCGAAAGCGACUUCCUGGACCAGUACCGACGUU